AUUGAACGCUGGCGGUAUGCCUAACACAUGCAAGUCGAACGAGGUAGCAAUACCUAGUGGCGGACGGGUGAGGAAUACGUAGGGAUCUGCCUUUAAGUGGGGAUAACCCGGGGAAACCCGGAUUAAUACCGCAUGAUCUCGCAAGAGCAAAGAGGGGGACCGCAAGGCCUCUCGCUUUUUAGAGGAACCUACGUCGGAUUAGCUAGUUGGUGAGGUAAUGGCUCACCAAGGCGACGAUCCGUAACUGGUCUGAGAGGAUGAUCAGUCACACCGGAACUGAGACACGGUCCGGACUCCUACGGGAGGCAGCAGUGGGGAAUAUUGGACAAUGGGCGAAAGCCUGAUCCAGCAAUACCGCGUGUGUGAAGAAGGCCUCGGUUGU
rnacentral:rRNA from 1 species